AUGACGCGAUAGCCAUCUUCCUGGCGCUGCGGUCGCCAGAGCUGGAGGUGCUAGGCCUCACCACUACCUUCGGCAACGUCCACACCGCCCUCGCCACGCGCAACGCGCUCCACCUGCUGGAGGCUGUUGGCAGGACUGACAUCCCCGUGGCAGAGGGAUCCCAUCUAACGAUCAAGAAAGCCACCAAGCUGAGGAUCGCAAGCUUCGUCCACGGUACAGACGGCCUGGGAAACCAGGACUUCCCUCGACCAGCUACCAAGCCUGUAGAUCAGUCUGCUGCUGUCUU